UGUAUAACUGAAUCACCUUGCUGUACAGCAGAAAUUAACACAACGUUGUAAAUCACCUAUAUUUCGAUUAAAAAAAUAAAUGGAGGCCAUUUAGCCCUGGGCUGAGCUUUUUAUCAUUAUAUACUACGCUUUCCAUUUGGAGGCAUUCUUGGGAAAAGUUUCAUCAUUUUGUUUCAGGCCUCUCUGCUUCUCAGUUUUUAUUCUCCUUGGUGAUGAAAAUGCAUUCUUUUUCUCCGCGUAGGAGACUAUACAUGAGCACCCACCUCCUUCAUAACCUGCUCUACAAUUGCUCCCUUGGUUCCUGAGGAGAGAGGACAACUCACAAAGAUUUUACUCCAAAUUCAAGACAUUUAAGUGCACCCAGAAAGAAGGGAGCUUGUCGCAUUUGGGAAACGUUCACCAAGCAUCAAGCACCUAGAACUAUGAUGGGUAUCGAGCUUACAAAGAGCUUACAGUGGCAUGAAGGAAAUGAGAACAACAAUUACGGUCAGGACCUCUAAAGAAGACGACUGAGUAAAAGCACUUUCAUUUGGCAGUCCUCCACAAAAUACAGCCAAAAUAACAAAAUUAACAAAGAAAAAGGAAAGAAAAGAGAGAAGAAAUCUUUUCUUCAAAGGAAUGAGGACGCGGUCAGCUGGAACCCUGAUGAAUGUCUGCCAAGCACAGUGAAAGCUGGAUCAUUCUGAAGAAGGCCAUGAAGAGAAACUAGAUCUUCAGGUCUUAAGCCAUGUGGCUGAUUUUUUUCCUUAAAAGUGAAAAAAUCAAAGGUCCGACCAAAGACCAUUUUUCUUGGAAAACCAAAAUGUAGGAGCAUGAGCUGGCCCAGGAAAAAAAUCACACCACCAUCUAAUUCCAUAGAGGCCCAGUUCCAGCCACAGGGCAUCAGGGAGAUAGGCAGAGGGUAGAUGUAAUAAGUCACCACCAUUUUCCAAGAUUUAACAUUCCAACUAGAGAAAUGUGAAAAUGUUCUGAGUAAGAAGCCUCUGAGAGAUGGGGCAGAUGGACACGAGCGCAGAGCCCGGCAUUUAUUAGGCACUUAGUAAGUAUUCUCUGGGAUAUGGAAAGAAGGAAAGAAGAAAGGAAAGGAGGGAAGGAAGGAGAAGGGCAGUGAGAAGCAAGCAAGUGGCAGGUGCCUACCCAUCCUUGUUUCCAGGGUUACACCCUUGUUUCCAGGGUUACACCCUUGCCACAUAUAGAUGAAGCCUUUGUUUCUUUUUUGGUUUUCUACCAAACAUCUCAAGGCCAUGUGACAUUCUGGGUGUAUCUACAUCUGGGCCAGAAGGGUACAUUGUGUUCUAUCUUUAACUCUCAGGGCAUACAGGAAUAGUCUAGGUCUCCUGAAAAGUCCUGGGAUGAUCAACAGAUACCAUUUCUCUUUCACACUUCUUUGAGCAAAUCAUUGAAAAUAACAGAAAUACAUUUAGUUUCAACAAAGGGGCUCUCUUUGGAUUCCAUGAGGAUGAAGGUGAGGAAUAUGUAUUUACAUUUUAAUUGGUGUCAAAAUAUUUGUAUUGGUGUCAAAGUUAGAAACACAUUAACUUUUGGGCUUCCCUGGUGGCGCAGUGGCUGGGAGUCCGCCUGCCGAUGCAGGGGACACGGGUUCGUGC